ACUCUCAGUUCGGAUUGUAGGCUGAAACUCGCCUACAUGAAGCUGGAGUUACUAGUAAUCGCAGAUCAGAAUGCUGCGGUGAAUGCGUUCCCGGGUCUUGUACACACCGCCCGUCACACCACGGGAGGUGGAGACGCCCGAAGCCGAUUAUCUAACCUUUUGGAAGAAGUCGUCGAAGGUGGAAUCAAUAACUGGGGUGAAGUCGUAACAAGGUAGCCGUAUCGGAAGG
rnacentral:rRNA from 1 species